rnacentral:lncRNA from 1 species
AAGUUCCCAGCCAGGGGUCAAUUGAGAACUGCAACUGCCCACCUACGCCACAGCCACAGGAACUCGGGAUCUGAGCUGCAUCUGUGACCUGCACCACAGCUCAUGGCAACACCAGAUCCCUAACCCACUGAGCGAGGCCUGGGAUCAAACCUGCAUCCUCAUGGAUGCUAGUUGGGUUCGUUACCACUGAGUCACCCUGAGAACUCCAGAGACUUCUGUUUUCGGCUUGGGGAAAUCACAGUCAGACAUCUAGAGAGAUACAGUUGGGGUACCUGUGCCUGUAGCUUGUUAGAGGCAAUGUCAGAAAAUAUGAGUUUAGACAAGGGUCAGGAAAAAAGAUGGAGCUGAAAUUAUGACAUUGGGAGGUUUUCGAGAAAUCCGAUAUGUCAAUUGGACCAAAAUGCAAUGGAGAAAGGGGCGGCAGAGAGAGCAGUGAUGCACAAGGAGGCAGGAGGUGAACUGGUAAUGAUGUAGUGUCUUCGAGCCCAAGGAAAAAGCUCCCAUCAACAAUGGAAUGUGCCAGAAAAGAAAGAGAAGACCCACUGAGAAAAGAUCCUUGCCUAGGACAACACAAUGAGAGGCAGGUUAUUGUUGACCUUUGAGUGGCUGUGUCAAUAGAUGCCUGAGUGGAAGCCUGGUGUUCCACUAGGAAUUGAAAUGAAUGUCUUCUAGGGGAAGGCAGGCACAUUUAGGAAACUUGGGAGUGAGUGGAAGGAAGAUAAAAGGAGCCAGAAAGUCAGGCUCAAAAGACAGUAGUGCCAAAGCCUUCACUGGGAGAGGGGAGCCCAGCAGGGAUUAGUUAGCAGUGAUAUAAACUAGGAGGAGCCCCUCUAAGCCUUGGUAUCUUCACGUGUCCCAGGAAAGUAGAAAUAUCUACCACAUGAGAUUGUGGCAAAGAUAAAUUAACGUCUGUGAAAAGUACACAGCACAGAUCAUGGCAGGUAGUAGUUAUCCAUCAAGGGUCUACUUAACUCCUGAAUGCCUUCAGAUGAUUUCUUUCAUUGUCUCAUGUAUGUUUAGACCCAGCUAAUUGCCCCUCACAGGAGCCCCGUGCUUGCGGAGAUCAGGCGAGAACUCAUUGCAAACCCAUACCAACCACUUAAAGAAACAGCCCAUUGCACCUGUCCCUUGGGAUCCCACUGAGGUGCAAGAGUAUUUGAGGAUGUUUUAAGGAGGAAGAGAACCCUCCGAGGUGGUGACUCAAACAAUUCCUAUUGGUCUAUGGUACCCAAGGAGCACACACGGGUAUAGGGAUCCGGAAAGCAAUAGCCAGCCCGUGUGCUAAGCCAAAGCAUACUUCAUUUCUAUGAGUCCAUCCUGUGAUGUUGAUACCAUCAUCUUCUCCAUCUCACACUUGAGAGUCAGAAGAGUUUAGCAAAUUGUCCUCGGUGGCCGAGCUCGCGUGAGGGAGAGGGGCGUGCGGGUUCAUUUGGUGGCUAGAAUCCAUGGUCUGCCAUCACUCUAUGGGCAUCCUUUGACUCAGGUGUUUGAAGAUCUGGACAUUUACCCACCACUCGCCUCGCUCCCCUGGGCGUCUUCCCAGGAGGAGAGCAGUCGAGUCAGCCCUGACCCAGGGGUGGGACGCCCACAGGAGGACAGUGAUACUGGCAUAGCUACGGUCAAGGGCAGCCAGAAUGAAGAAUGAGCCUGUUCUCAAACAGGGAGGGUCAAGGGGAGGUCAAUGCCCCAGGUACCAGAGACAGGCAAGCCCCGUCUCCCCUUUCGUCCAGAGGCAGAAUUGGACCAGACCCAUGGGCCAGAGCUUGCACCUCCAGCCUGGCAAAUCCCAACAAAUUUUAUGCCUUCCCCAAGGCCCCUUCAGCCACCCAAAGCCACUAUUUCACGGAGACAGAGACAGCUCUGGCCUUCACACACCACAGGAUGUGUGGGGGUGCCGGGUCCCCCAGAGGACGCCACCCAACCCAGACACCUCCAAAUAGCUAUUCUCUAAAGCACGCCCGAGACUGUUACCUCUCCAAAUGAAGUAAAAGCUAAAAGAUGAAAAACCAAGGUGAUCAUUUUAGUCCGGCUUAGGCGUAAUUAUGCAUUCAUCAGUCAGAGCUUUAAUUACCCCGAGAUAAAGGUACCAUUAGUGUUCGAGGGAAAAACUGGCUCCAGCAAAAUGCAUUUCUUUUGUCUCCCAGCCAGGGACAGCUAACAGUUAUCCUGGGAAGGGCUUAGCAGGGAGACUCCAACCUAAACCAGAGAGGCCCACAGCCAUAAAAGGCGAUGGCCCUGAGCUGGGCACAGCAUCCGAGGGAGAUGUGGCAUGGCCAGGGAGCCCACGGGAGCUUCCGAGGCCAGGGCAUUCCUGGAAUGAUGGAAAGACAUCAGGGACGGAAACGGAGGCGUGGAAGAAAGAGGGCGGGGAAACUCUGGGGCCUGAUGUCAAGUAUCACCUUGCUACCCUCUUGGCAAGAAACCCAGAAUCUCAGAUUCCACUCAGGACCUAUGGAAUCAGAAUCUGCAUCUUCACAUGAGGCCCGGGUGCUGUGUAUAUGCACGUUCAAGUGUGUGAUGCUUUGCUUUGGGGACAGGAUCUAGGACAAUCUAUCUACUGCUCAUGAGCAAAAGCAAGGAGCUGGGGUUUGCUCACCUCGCCUACUCAUCUGUGUGUUAGAGCGGAAAACUGGAGGCAGAAAUGCGAGCGCGCGGGCGCGCGCAUGCGCGUGUCGAAAGCCUUUGCUUUUCUUUUUUUAACCAUCUGGCAGGAGAAAUAGAUUUUCCUUUCCAGUGCUGCUUUAAAAGGUAAACAGAAUUGAAUGGGGGCAAAGUAGGGGCGGAAGUAGAGACCAUAAAACACACACCACGUCAAAUUGCAAUGAUUAAUAAAGCGGAGAGGCAAAGCAUCCCCCGGCGUGAGUGUGAGAUGCGACAGACAGGUCAGGGCAAACACUAGCGAAUCAAUUCCAGGGCCUCUCGCCUAAGGGCUGGGACAGGCAGCAACAGAGAGAAAACCAUUUCACAAUGAGGAGAAGAGGAAACUGGCAAGAAAGCAACCUCAGAAAAGGGGGGACGGGGUGAGGAGGCCCCCUGGGGAGGGGGGAGAAAUUACGUGGGUGGUGAGGUUAUAGGUACGGUGGGAUGUUCGUGCGGCUGCACCAUACCCACAGGAUCGGAUUAACAGAUUAUAUAUGCCAGGCGUCUAACCCAGAGUUUUGAAUAAUCAGCUAAAGUUCAAAGGUCUGAAGACGGAGUUGGCUUUCGCUUCCAGCGCUGCUCCUUAUUAGAAAGGUCGAUCUGGAGAUAGUGUACUUUCUCUUAUGGAUCCUCAGCUUCCUCAUUGGAACUUCCAUAUGCUGCAGGUGCGGCCCUUAAAAGAAAAAGAAGGAAAAAAAAAAAGAUUAAAUGAGAUAAUACGUGUUGUCCCUCAGCACACUGCCUGGUACGUAUCACACUCUCAAAAUGAUAGCUAGUGUCCUUUGUUCAUUUCCCAGCGGUCUUCCCAGCAUUGCCAGUUUCCCAGCACAUUUCUGCUCUUGGCCCUGACUUUCCUCUGUGUUCUGAAAGGGGGAUGGGAAAAAUGCGAUGGCUUUUGUGAGCACUGACCUCUGUGCUCUUGAAGUAGGAGCACUUAGCUCAUCCUCUGGCUCUUUAAACAGUAUGACAACUUAUUCUGUAAACCAACUCAGCUGCCCCUGCUGGUGUCUAAGCAUCUUCAAGAAAGAGCACACGAGGGAAAUGCAUGAAACCAGGCAAGGGCCAAGCAUCCUCUCCCACGCAGGCACCUGCAUUUUCUACAACCCAGCCCUGAAGAACAGAGAGGAAAGGGGUUGAGCCACCUUCUGGAGCUCCUGGAAGGACACCUGUGCUCCCAGAAAGGACCCCAGGAUGAGGUGAGCAGCUCUGAAGCUCCUGCGCCCCAUGAUCCAUCCCAUCCAUGUCCUGCCCCUCGGAUGAGGGUACACAGUGCCAAGGAAGCCAGACUCAGUCACUCCUCCAGGGGUUUCUUCGAGCUGCGGUGCAGUCUGCAUCCUGGACCAGGCUGUCUGCCUCCAUGCACCUGACUUUGGUCCCAAAGGAUGAUGGAGAGAGAAAGCAGAUGGAGCUUUACACGCUCCCUCUGAGGAGGCAGGAAUGGGGGCUGGGUUAGGCUUCAAGAGCAGUGCUCAGGACCUGGAGUUAGGGGUGCCUUUGUCAGAGACUGUCGACCCAAUAAAGUCCUUCCAGAAGCGCUGAGGGGCAGUCAUUAACCCUGAGGCUCCGAGAUCAGACACAGCUGGAUCUGAAUCCCUAUCCUACUUCUCACUGGGUGUGGCCUCUUGGCCUUCGUCCCUCAGCCUCUCUAUGCUUCAGUUUCCUUCCCUGUAACAUGGGGAUCGUGUUAGUAACUGCUUCUGUCUCAGCCAGGUUCUGGCAGGAACAGACUGCACACUCCAACCAGGUAAGGAAAGGAGAAUUUAAUAAAGGGAGGAGUCAUAAGGAAGCGGACCAAGUGUAGGCAAAUAUUGGGGGUAGUGUUGUACGCUAGGGCUGAAAAGAGUGGGGCCCCUCAUCCAGGACUGGAGAGCAAGAUCUCAGAAGAGCGAUACUCCUUGGUGAUGGCUGUGAACUGAUGGAGGGAUCAGCCAACAAGGUAACCCUGGGGGGCAAGGGCGAUGGCUGAGCUCACUCUUCUCUCCUCCCGUCCUUUGCAGAACCCAAGGCUGCCCACAGAUGGUGUGUCUAGAACUCAGCCUCUUGGGGCACAGAGCAGCGUGCAUGAGAGUAGAGAGUGGGUCUGAAAAAGAGAACUGAAAAUACCCAGCAAGUCCCAUCAGGUCAUCAAGGGACUUGAACGAGAUCAAACACAUAAAAUGCUUGGUACAUGUGAACACGUGAUAGUGUUUGUUCUAACAACGACCCUUUUCUUUUUACCCAGGAAAACAGUGAAGUUUAAGAAGUUUUAAAUCUUUAAAGUUAUAUGGAUCUGGAGUUCCCGUCACGGCGCAGCAGAAACGAAUCUGACUAGCAUCCAUGAGCAUGCAGGUUUGAUCCCUGGCA